UACGAAGGGGGGCAAGCGUUGUCCGGAAUUACUGGGCGUAAAGGGCUCGUAGGCGGCCAACUAAGUCAGACGUGAAAUCCCUCGGCUUAACUGGGGAACUGCGUCUGAUACUGGAUGGCUUGAGAUUGGGAGAGGGAUGCGGAAUUCCAGGUGUAGCGGUGAAAUGCGUAGAUAUCUGGAGGAACACCGGUGGCGAAGGCGGCGUUCUGGACUGCAACUGACACUGAGGAACGAAAGCCAGGGGAGCAAACGGG
rnacentral:rRNA from 1 species